rnacentral:rRNA from 1 species
GUCGAGCGGACAGAUGGGAGCUUGCUCCCUGAUGUUAGCGGCGGACGGGUGAGUAACACGUGGGUAACCUGCCUGUAAGACUGGGAUAACUCCGGGAAACCGGGGCUAAUACCGGAUGGUUGUUUGAACCGCAUGGUUCAAACAUAAAAGGUGGCUUCGGCUACCACUUACAGAUGGACCCGCGGCGCAUUAGCUAGUUGGUGAGGUAACGGCUCACCAAGGCAACGAUGCGUAGCCGACCUGAGAGGGUGAUCGGCCACACUGGGACUGAGACACGGCCCAGACUCCUACGGGAGGCAGCAGUAGGGAAUCUUCCGCAAUGGACGAAAGUCUGACGGAGCAACGCCGCGUGAGUGAUGAAGGUUUUCGGAUCGUAAAGCUCUGUUGUUAGGGAAGAACAAGUACCGUUCGAAUAGGGCGGUACCUUGACGGUACCUAACCAGAAAGCCACGGCUAACUACGUGCCAGCAGCCGCGGUAAUACGUAGGUGGCAAGCGUUGUCCGGAAUUAUUGGGCGUAAAGGGCUCGCAGGCGGUUUCUUAAGUCUGAUGUGAAAGCCCCCGGCUCAACCGGGGAGGGUCAUUGGAAACUGGGGAACUUGAGUGCAGAAGAGGAGAGUGGAAUUCCACGUGUAGCGGUGAAAUGCGUAGAGAUGUGGAGGAACACCAGUGGCGAAGGCGACUCUCUGGUCUGUAACUGACGCUGAGGAGCGAAAGCGUGGGGAGCGAACAGGAUUAGAUACCCUGGUAGUCCACGCCGUAAACGAUGAGUGCUAAGUGUUAGGGGGUUUCCGCCCCUUAGUGCUGCAGCUAACGCAUUAAGCACUCCGCCUGGGGAGUACGGUCGCAAGACUGAAACUCAAAGGAAUUGACGGGGGCCCGCACAAGCGGUGGGAGCAUGUGGGUUUAAUUCGAAGCAACGCGAAGAA